rnacentral:misc_RNA from 1 species
AACGUUCGGCUCCUCUCAAAUAAAUCAGCUUUCCAGUGUCUGGUGGCAUCACAGGUGUGAUAACUAUCUACGCUUGUGGUCGCCUUCUGGGUAACCUUCAGUGAUGGAGGUUCGCUGGAGCUUAUAAACGUCUCUCCUCAGCGAGGACAGCUUUUUUAACGUUCGAUCUCAAAUCAGGUAGGACUACCCGCUGAACUUAA